rnacentral:lncRNA from 1 species
AUGGGAGAAGGGGCCUUCAGUGGGAGAGCCACGACACCCACAAGCAUAGCAUCCCUCUCUGAAGGAAAACCCAGGUGUGCUUCUAAGACAAACACAAACUUGAGGGCCAAAGUUGUGUGCCCUACCAUCUGGCCAGAUUUCAGAAAAGCCAGGCAGCCUGGUUCACCUCCCUGCACCCUGCUACUGCCCCCAGUUGUGGGGGAAACCCACGGCUGUGAGCUCUGGGUUUGCACAAAAGGGCUGAGGAGACUCCAGACGUAGAGGAGAGAAUCAACCGUGGCUUCUCAGCUGUGCCUGGAGGUCUGACCUGGGCCCUGAGACUUGAGUCAAGGGCCAGGCUCCUGAAGGCUAAAGGGACUCCUCCUUCAUCCUCAGGGACCCCCCUCCUCCUCAGCCUGUACAGCUGUGCCCCCAUGGACAGCCUGGACAGCCCCUCCCUGUAGGCUGGGUGAAACCUGAGGCCUCAACUGUUUGGCUGAACUGGAGCCUUCCAGCACUGGGAUCACCGAAGGUCUCAAUCUCAGAGAUUUUUCUAAGGUGAGAAAGAACUGGAGGGUGACCCGAGGGAGAUUUCAAGUGGCAACAUGGAGCCCUCAGACACUCACUGAGUCUACAGGUGGCAAGUGCCAGGAGCUGCAAUCAGGCACAUUCUCUGCAGAAAUCCUGGCAGCAGGCGAAGUACAUUGCCCCUUUGUUGAACAACCAGUCUGGCUUCACAAAGCUGGCAAGUGCUGAAGUCAGCAUUCUACCAGAGCUUCUCUUGACUUCAGAACAGACUCUUUCUUGCAUGAGGGACGUGUGCGUGAAACAGACGAGAUUUCCAGAAGCUGUGUUAUUCUCAUUCAUUCAUUCAUCCACCUAUCAUUUGCUCACUGAUCACCUACCAAGUGCUGAAGAUCCAAGCAGGCAGCAUCCCCACAUAUAGGGCUAGAGAGCUGUCUUUCCACAAGGCACACGUGCCAAGGGACACGUUACAAAACCUUCCACACAUAGCAAGCCCCUGAACAUCUCCAGAGGUCUGAACCACUUCUCUUGCCUCUUUGCCUGCUUGGACUAAGUUUUCUCUUCCAUUUUCCAACUGUGGAAUUAGCCAGCAGCUCCACAGUGCCCAGAUGGCUCAGCAGAUAAAGAAUCCACCUGCAGUGCUGGAGACACAGGUUCAAUCCCUGUGUCGGGAGGAUCCCCUGAAGCAGACAAUGGCAACCCACUUCAGUAUUNNNNNNNNNNNNNNNNNNNNNNNNNNNNNNNNNNNNNNNNNNNNNNNNNNNNNNNNNNNNNNNNGUCAGACAUGCUUGACAUGAUUGAGAGACAAACACUUUCCGCAACACUUUCCCCGGGGCCCCAGCUUGCAAGGAGGGCCUUGUCAGUAGUGAAGCUUCUGACUGGGCUGAGGAGGCUCAGGGACAUUCCUCUAACCUGGCUCAAGCCCAGGGAAUGUCUUUGAUCUCUGGCACUGAAAGUGUGCACAGAAUCGAGUCCAAGAUCAGAUGCUCAGGUGCUGAGCGGAAGCAUGAGGCGGAUGAGCAGGGAGAGUCCAGCCAUAUCAGAGAGAGGGCAACCUGUUGAUUACAG